rnacentral:tRNA from 1 species
GGGUUUGUAGCUUAGCUGGUUAAAGCAUACGCUUGAUAAGCGUAAGAUCGUGAGUUCGAUCCUCACUGAGCCUACUA